rnacentral:misc_RNA from 1 species
GCUUUUUAUCAAUUUUCAUGAAAAUUUACAUAUAUAAAUUUCAAUUGUUUAAUACACAAAAUUAACCAUGAUAUCUCAUGAGAAUUUUUUUGUCAUGUUUGAAAAAACCGAAACACGCUGGUAUUUCUCUUAUAUACCUUUGCAAGUACGAUAGUAAUGGUGACACUUCUGGCAGCCGAAGUUAGAUUUGAAGAAUCCUUCGGGACACUCCGAAUGACACUCGCCCGCUGCUAGUUGCCAACCACGAGGGCAGAUCACGCAUUGAUCUCUUCUGGGUCCGGAACACGUUUUACACGACAGCAAACUUACCCCUGAGCACAAGAGGACCUGCACUCUCCACUCUGGAGCUGCAAUCCAUCUUGACAAGCAGUGCAGUUCAGUCGAGACACGCACGUUUUGCAAGUAUGCAAGGAGCAGCGAUGUUUGACAGGAGACACAAUGAUCUUCACCAGGUCCAGCGCAAGUUUUACAUGAAGUAUGGCACUGCUUGCAGUGGCCAUUUUCGUAAUAUUCCGAUGUAUUACAACGAUCACGAUGUUCAGGAGCGCAGAGGCUUUCUUCGUUCAAGCUCCAGCCUUCAUCGCAACUUGUGCAGGUUGACAUGGAGCAGGUAGCACAUCCGGGUGGACAUGGAAUGCAUUCGCGACGCUUUUUGUCCGCUCCAUAACCCGCUGAACAAGACGCUCGACAUGAUCCUGGGAUUUAUAAAAUUCAUUUUAAAUUAAAGCUUAAAUUGUACCGUUGAGUUAUAGCUGACUAUAAUAUUAGGUAGAAUUGUGGUGGCACUCGACAAGCCAAAUAUCACCACUCGACACUAACUAGUGUCGGACAACGGCAGCGCAGUGGUUAGCGCUUUAGGUUACGAACGUUUGGAACCGGGGUUCGAAUCCCGGCGACCGGAGUCCGAUUUUUCUUCCACGCACCAAAUAACGGAGGAAAAAUCAGCAGUACCCCAGCUGUGACAUCUACAGCCCCUAGCGACAAUUACUCCGGACGAGGCCCAACAAGUACAACUAUCACGGACAACAAAUACCACCUCAAACUGGUGAUCCCGACGUGACCGACAGCGAAACAGAGGUAUGACCGUGAUAGCACUACCGAGAGACUUCCAUCAUCGCGAAUCUAAGACUGUGCAAGCUGGACUUACCGCUACAACGAACACGGAACGGCCCUUCCAUCUUCAGCAAACCUGGACACCUUACCUCCGAUCGACGCGCAAAGCAGGUGACAGAAUACGAGACGAUGACCAAGCCAAGAGUGAUG